rnacentral:rRNA from 1 species
AACGUAGGUGGCGAGCGUUAUCCGGAUUCAUUGGGCGUAAAGAGCUUGUAGGUGGCGGUGUAAGUUGGACGUGAAAACUCCGGGCUUAACUUGGAGAGGCCGUUCAAUACUGCACAGCUAGAGGAUGUCAGAGGGAAGUAGAAUUCCUGGUGUAGCAGUGAAAUGCGUAGAUAUCAGGAGGAAUACCCGUGGCGAAGGCGGCUUCCUGGGACAUAACUGACACUGAGAAGCGAAAGCUAGGGGAGCAAACGGG